rnacentral:rRNA from 1 species
AUUGAACGCUGGCGGCAUGCCUUACACAUGCAAGUCGAAUGGCAGCACGGGAGCAAUCCUGGUGGCGAGUGGCGAACGGGUGAGUAAAGUAUCGGAACGUGCCCAGUCGUGGGGGAUAACGUAGCGAAAGUUACGCUAAUACCGCAUACGAUCUAUGGAUGAAAGCGGGGGAUCGCAAGACCUCGCGCGAUUGGAGCGGCCGAUAUCAGGUUAGGUAGUUGGUGGGGUAAAGGCGCACCAAGCCGACGACAUGUAGCUGGUCUGAGAGGACGGCCAGCCGGAAGGGGAAUGAGCCACGGACCAGACUCCCACGGGAGGCAGCAGUGGGCAAUGUUGGAAAAGGGGCGGAAGCCUGAUCCAGCCAGGCCGAGGGCUGGAUGAAGGCCUUCGGGUUGUAAACUGCUUUUGUACGGAACGAAAAGGUUUGGCCUAAUAAGCUGAGCUCAUGACGGUACCGUAAGAAUAAGCACCGGCUAACUACGUGCCAGCAGCCGCCGUAA